GCGGUAGUAGCUCAGUUGGUAGAGCGCAACCUUGCCAAGGUUGAGGUCGCGAGUUCGAGACUCGUCUACCGCUCCA
rnacentral:tRNA from 1 species